UGAUUGCUAUGACGAUUAUUCAAGGACGGUAUCUGAGCGAUGGAGACUCCUCGCGUGAUUAUACCCAAUCUGAGACUAAUAACUGAGCAAAUA
rfam:Brachypodium distachyon strain Bd21 chromosome 3, whole genome shotgun sequence.